rnacentral:rRNA from 1 species
CCCUUAGAUGUUCUGGGCAGCACGCGCGCUACAAUGGUCUUCGCAAACGGAUGCAUUCUCGAAGGAGAAUGCCAAUCUUGGAAUCUAUGCCUUGGUCGGGACAGUUGCUUGCAAUUUUUCGACUCGAACCAGGAAUUCCUUGUAAUCGUGAUUCAUCACAUCACGAUGAAUACGUCCCUGCCCUUUGUACGCACCGCCCGUCGCUCCUACCGAUCGAAGAGUUAGGUGAAUUGUUUUGAUCGAUAAGAUUUGACUAUGGUCAACUCUCGUUGUGAAAUUCUGUGAAUCUGACUGUUUAGAGGAAGGAAAAGUCGUAACA